UACGUAGGGCGCAAGCGUUUGUCCGGAAUUAUUGGGGCGUAAAGAGCUCGUAGGCGGCUUGUCACGAUUCGGGGUGUGAAAGCCCCGGGGCUUAACCCCCGGGGUCCUUGACAUUGAUACGGGCUAGCUAGAGUGUGGUAGGGGAGAUCGGAAUUCCUGGUGUAGCGGUGAAAUGCGCAGAUAUCAGGAGGAACACCGAUGGCGAAGGCAGGUCUCUGGGCCGAUACUGACGCUGAGGAGCGAAAGCGUGGGGAGCGAACAGG
rnacentral:rRNA from 1 species